AGAGUUUGAUCCUGGCUCAGGAUAAACGCUGGCGGCGCACAUAAGACAUGCAAGUCGAACGGACUUAACCGAAGUAUUUAUGUUUUGGAGCGGUUAGUGGCGGACUGGUGAGUAACACGUAAGCAACCUGCCUAUUAGAGGGGAAUAACAGUGAGAAAUCAUUGCUAAUACCGCAUAUGCUGUGAGUAUCGCAUGGUACAAACAGGAAAGGAGUAAUCCGCUAAUAGAUGGGCUUGCGUCUGAUUAGAUAGUUGGUGGGGUAACGGCCUACCAAGUCAACGAUCAGUAGCCGAACUGAGAGGUUGAACGGCCACAUUGGGACUGAGAUACGGCCCAGACUCCUACGGGAGGCAGCAGUCGGGAAUAUUGCACAAUGGAGGAGACUUUGAUGCAGUGACGCCGCGUGCAGGAAGAAGGUUUUCGGAUUGUAAACUGCUUUAGACAGGGAAGAAACAAGACAGUACCUGUAGAAUAAGCUCCGGCUAACUACGUGCCAGCAGCCGCGGUAAUACGUAGGGAGCAAGCGUUAUCCGGAUUUAUUGGGUGUAAAGGGUGCGUAGACGGGAAUUUAAGUUAGUUGUGAAAUCCCUCGGCUUAACUGAGGAACUGCAACUAAAACUGAAUUUCUUGAGUGCGGGAGAGGAAAGUGGAAUUCCUAGUGUAGCGGUGAAAUGCGUAGAUAUUAGGAGGAACACCAGUGGCGAAGGCGACUUUCUGGACCGUAACUGACGUUGAGGCACGAAAGUGUGGGGAGCAAACAGGAUUAGAUACCCUGGUAGUCCACACUGUAAACGAUGGAUACUAGGUGUAGGGAAUAUUAAGUUUUCUGUGCCGUCGCAAACGCAAUAAGUAUCCCACCUGGGGAGUACGACCGCAAGGUUGAAACUCAAAGGAAUUGACGGGGGCCCGCACAAGCAGUGGAGUAUGUGGUUUAAUUCGAAGCAACGCGAAGAACCUUACCAGGGCUUGACAUAUACAGGAAUAUGCUAGAGAUAGCAUAGCUCCUCGGAGUCUGUAUACAGGUGGUGCAUGGUUGUCGUCAGCUCGUGUCGUGAGAUGUUGGGUUAAGUCCCGCAACGAGCGCAACCCCUGUUUCUAGUUGCCAGCACGUAAAGGUGGGAACCCUAGAGAGACUGCCGGUGAUAAAUCGGAGGAAGGUGGGGACGACGUCAAAUCAUCAUGCCCUUUAUGUCCUGGGCUACACACGUACUACAAUGGCUACAACAAAGAGAAGCGAAGCAGAGAUGUGGUGCAAAACUCAAAAAAGUAGUCUCAGUUCGGAUUGAAGGCUGAAAUUCGCCUUCAUGAAGCCGGAAUUGCUAGUAAUGGCAGGUCAGCAUACUGCCGUGAAUACGUUCCCGGGCCUUGUACACACCGCCCGUCACACCAUGAGAGUUGGGAAUACCCGAAGCCUGUGAGCUAACUUUUAGGGGCAGCAGUCGAAGGUAGAAUCAAUGAUUGGGGUGAAGUCGUAACAAGGUAACCAA
rnacentral:rRNA from 2 species